GGUUCGAUGGCGUAGUUGGUUAUCGCAUCUGUCUAACAUCCGGAAGAUUUCACUUGUUACACAGAAGGUCCCCAGUUCGAGCCUGGGUCGAAUCA